UGUUCCUAAAUACGGCCCCGGGUCGGCUUCACAUCGGCUGUUGUGCAUGUCCGCCACGUGCGGAAAGCCUUGAGGCCAUGUAGCUCUCCCACCUGAUCCAUCGUGGAUCAAGGUCGUUCGGUGGGCAGCGGCAUCGCGGUGACGCC
rnacentral:other from 1 species